UUGGGCUUUUAAUUCAGAACAUAGAGGAGAGGAAAAGAAGCCCUAGAAAUCCUUUCCCCUUCUCCACCCCCACUCUCGUGUUCUCCUUCUCCCAAUCGCCCAGCCGCACCACGCCUCUACUCGACGAUUGGUGACCUUUUCCUAUCGUGGCACAUCAUCAUUUUCCACGGACAGUAGCAGGCGGCGUGCGUUUUGGUUCGUGGCAAUAGUGGGUAGUGUUUCUACUACGAUUUGCGGCAUUCCGGGGCGUUUUACCGGCGGCAAAGUUCCUUACGAUCCAUGUUCAGCUUUUCGUGGAGGCCGAUAACCUCGGGUGUGGAUUCCCUAUGGCGCACAACAGUGUCGAUAUCAAUCGGUGUACUUUCCUUGUUGCAAAAUAAUGCUUACAGUAGCAUUUUGUGGUGUUUGGCACCUACCCCAUGAUCGUUUGAAGCCGAUUUACGCAACCCACACCCAUUCGAGUUUGAUCCAAGUUACCCACACCUAAACGAAGUUUGCUUUGCGGUGUUGAGUCGACACGAGGUUAGGAGCGUAGCAGUGUGUAAGUAGUAUCAGGGGUGGGUGUGUGCAUUGUGGUGUGCUAUUGGGAUGGUUUAUUGUUGUAUUCUAUUACAAUCGUGUAUCAUUUGCAUGCAUAAUUGUGUGUCAUGGUUUGAGAAUUUCUGAUUGGUACUAAUGGGUUUGCAUCUGCUGUGCUCCUAUAUAUUAUGUAAAUGUUUUGUGUCAUGAUCAUGGUUGUAGUUGGGAGCUUCUGGUUUAUAUGGUUGGAAGUGGUUAUGUUGAGUGAAUGAAAGCAUAUUCUAAAUUUUGGAUGCAUGUGUUAGCUUUGCGCUUAUUGGGACAUGAUAAUUGUUGAGUUAGGAGAUGUGUAUUUAUUGGUUUGAGAACUGUGAGUUUACUUUUCUCCUUGUAUGAAUGAAAAGCAUGUGGGAAGAAAAAUUGUGUUGUGGACGGAUGUGUAAAUGGCUUGUUGAUGCCCUUAAGAGGUUGGUUGUGAUUUGUCUGAAGUGAUAGAACAUGCUAGUUGUUUUGUUUCUUGUGAUUCGUCUGAAGUGAUAGACCUGACUAGUGGUUUUGUUAUUGGAAGACAGUAUGGUGAGUGACUUAAAGGUCAUGGGAAAAAAAAUCUUAACAGGAGACUAAGAGUUGAACGUGUGGUUUACCCUGACAUGGAAGGGAAUGGAGAAAUGCAUAGCUACGGUGGCAAUGGUGGGGCUGAUACGUCCCUACUGGGUGUCGAGGCUCCGAGUGUAAAAGGUUAGAGGUCGGUAGGCCAGUCUUGUUAGAGAUGAGUGUCGAGGAUAUGGGUACGAAAGGUCGGGAGUUGGUACGAUGAGUCUAUUUGAUGAGUAGUAUUGGGUUUUGACGUGGUGACGGUCAAAGACCAAUAUGCAUAGUAGACAUCGAGGCCAUGGGUACAAAAGUUAAAGGUCGAUGCACAGUUCAAGGCCUCGGGUAUAAAGGUCAAAGUCGAAUGCCAAACUUCUAUAGAGGAGUGUCGGGGCCUUGGGUACAAAAGGGCAAGGACCGAUACGAUUCAAAUAGUUAGACUUGGAGGACUAACAUAAUGUGAUGGGUUAGAAGUAGCUUGGAGGAACUAAAGAUCAACGAGCUUUGUGGUGGAAGUUCCGUGAGUUUUGCUACUUGGUGCAUGUGUGUGUGCUGUUAAACGUGGUUUGUGAUAAGAGUAAACUUUGUUUGUAGUAGAUUAGCUAAUAGCAUUGACCCCUGCAUGUAAAUCUUACAUUUUUCUAUUUGCCACUAAAGUAUGAAGUAGAGAGGUUGUUUUUAAUUGAUAGUCUAUUUGUUUUGAAACCAAACACCACACCAAAUCAUAUUUUAAUAAAAGUCCAUAGAGGUAUGAACUUGUAAUACUUUUUUCAUGUAUUACUCGUGGCAUUGUGUCACUACAACAAAUAAUACUUUAUAACAUUAAAUUAUAGCAUUAGGCCCUUUAUAGCUAUUAAAAAUUAGGUGGGCAAAUUAAAAAAAAAGCGGUAAAAUAAAUCUGGUGCGCGGCUAAGAUUACGGAAAAGAAAACGCUGUUUACAUUACGGAAAAAAGGCUCACUCUCUGUACUCGCUAAACCCUAGCCUUCGACGUACGCCUUAUUCGCCUCUGCCUCACCGCAACUGCAAUCGCCGCCAUCUUCAACCUACUCGUCAGGACCGGAAAGCUUCGCCUUCGACGCUGGCGGCGGCAGGCCUUACAUCGGAGUCUCCGACAGACAGAUUAUCAAAUGGCUGCAGGAGAAAUGGAGGUGGAUCGAUUCCGUCGUCACCUCUCCCAAUAGCGAAAAAACGCAGAGGCGACUGAGCGAGGUCUGUGUUCGUUCUCCUUUUGUUCGUUUUCUUUUGCUUUGUCAUGGUUAAUAUUUUCUUGGCAGAAACUUGAAUAUGUAACGUAAUGUGAUUUUGAAUUUGAAUAACAGCAUCAAGUAUAGUCACCUGUUAAGAAAUAAAAGGAAACGAGAAAUUAAGUAUAGCCACGGUUAAGAAAGAAAAGGAAAUGAGAAAUUGUUAAUAUAUUGUCAUGUGGUGAAAAAAUAAAAGGAUGAAAAAGGAUCUGAAGACAAAUAAAAAGCUUAAAUGAAGGAUUAUGGUGUAAGAAAAUGAGUAAAAAUAGCAUUGAGGUAUUAAAAAAAAACUAAAAAGAAAAAGAAAAAAUAACUAUGGACUUCAUUGAGGUUAAAAAAUCGCUUCUGUAAUUCUUUGUUUGUACUUUUCUAUUUUUCAUAUGCUUUUCUAGCUCGUAUUGGCUAGAGCUUUCCUUUUUUGUAUUUCCCUCAUGUAUUCUUCCAUUUGUUUUAUGUGAAAGUUGUUUCUCAUGUAUAUAAAAAGAGUUAAAAAAAAGUGUGAGCUUGUGUGAGGUUGCUUCAACUGAUAUACUCGAUGCUGAAGUUAGUUUGUUGAGCAUUAGAGCCUAAACAUUACCCUUUAAAAUGGGAUUAGUCUCUCUAGGCUAAUUAUUUACUUUUGUCUUCAAUGGUCAUCAAUCCAUGAAGUUUCCAAAUUCAAGUUUUUUAAAACUGAUGAUCAUAAUUGUUUCAUUGAUCUUUAAAAAAAAAAUCUGCAGAGGUCUCUUUGUUGUAUUCCCCUUUCAAAAUUUAAUUCUUUUUCUCUAAUCAAGGAAUAGUGUGAUCGAUGGUUCCAAUUUACUUUUGUCUUCAAUGUUUGCUUUCAUGAUCGUUGAGAUUUUGGUCUUGAAAUUCAGUUCUACUUUUGUACUGCGGUGAUCACAUAUAUGGGAUUGAUGUGUUUCUAAAUUGUCAGUUUAACCUGAUUUCCUUGGAUUAUUUUCCUUCUUAAUGCCAAACUUUUUGUUGUUUUUUUGGUUUGAUUUUGUUUGUCGAGGCUAAUUGAUCUGCACCAUUGUACCUAGUACCCAACAUUAGAGGAGUUGAGUAUUGAAAAACAAAAUUCGAGGCAUUUGAUUUGCGAGGACAUCAAAUUGUUUAUAGAGUCAAGAAGGAUUACUUUGCGAAGGUAAUGAAAUUGUUGGAUUCUUAAUUAGAAUGACAAGUUUGGAUUAUAAAUUUUGUGUCUGUGAUGAAGUGAAUUAAGAUAUUGGAACUCUUUUGUAUCAUUCCUAAAGUAAACAACAUCUCUGUAAUAGUAGUUAGCAUCUUGGUUUGGUCUUAACCUAAAUAUGGAUGUCUUUGGUCUCAUGUUUUAUUAUGUUGGCUAAGGGUUCUCUACGUUGAAUGGUUUUGAUCUGAAUGUGUCUAGUUUGUUAUUACUUAUUAGUUUGUGCUCAUGUUUUGUAACUAUUAUUUGUAAUAAUGGAUAAUGUUUGAGAUUUUGGUUUAAUUUUAGAUUGUAAUGGUGGUUUCAUGUGUGGAUAUGGGAUAGUUAUAAGUUUUGUGUUUAUUUGGUUUUCUCUUUUUCCUUUGCAAUUAUUGUUGGAAUGAGUUGAGACUUGGAUAGGGAAAUGCAAGUUGGAAAGAGAUAUAUGGGACCUCUUUUGUGAGAAAAAAAAAACAGAAAUGAACAAAACAAGCUUCAUUUUGGUAUAAUCAAUAUUAUUACUUCUCUCACUUGUUUUUACUUUAAUUCUUAGACAUUGGAUACAAAUUUUAUGUUCUUUAGAAUAUAUGGGUUGGCCUAAAAGUUAUUUGAAGCGAUAUGAAUUUAGGAGUUGAAGCAAAUCUUUCUUUGUUAAGAUUAGAGUCUCUUACUUCUAAUUGAUUGAAGUGUCAUGCUUAGCUUGGAUUAUAGAGUGAAUGAUGCUUGUGGGUGGUUAGAUCAAUUAAACACUCAUUGGCAAAAGGAGCUUGUUCAUAGUAUAACCUUUACUUCGAAAUAAAUCAUUCAUCUUAUAAAGUUCAUAUACUACUAUUUUUGAAUGUAAUUGUUUCAUUCUCUUCAAGAACCA